GAUGAACGCUGGCGGCGUGCUUAACACAUGCAAGUCGAACGAAGCACUUAAUGAGAUUUCUUCGGAUUGAUUAUUUUGUGACUGAGUGGCGGACGGGUGAGUAACGCGUGGGUAACCUGCCCCAGACCGGGGGAUAACAGUUGGAAACGACUGCUAAUACCGCAUAAGCGCACGGUAUCGCAUGGUACAGUGUGAAAAACUCCGGUGGUAUAAGAUGGACCCGCGUCUGAUUAGCUUGUUAGUGAGAUAACGGCUCACCAAGACUGCGAUCAGUAGCCGGACUGAGAGGUUGAACGGCCACAUUGGGACUGAGAUACGGCCCAGACUCCUACGGGAGGCAGCAGUGGGGAAUAUUGGGCAAUGGGCGAAAGCCUGACCCAGCAACGCCGCGUGAAGGAAGAAGGCCUUCGGGUUGUAAACUUCUUUUAAGAGGGACGAAGAAGUGACGGUACCUCUUGAAUAAGCCACGGCUAACUACGUG
rnacentral:rRNA from 1 species